rnacentral:rRNA from 1 species
CAGGUCCAGCUUGCUGGAUGCUGACGAGCGGCGGACGGGUGAGUAACGCAUAGGAAUCUACCCGGUAGUGGGGGAUAACCUGGGGAAACCCAGGCUAAUACCGCAUACGUCCUACGGGAGAAAGGGGGCUUAGGCUCCCGCUAUUGGAUGAGCCUAUGCCGGAUUAGCUGGUUGGUGAGGUAAUGGCUCACCAAGGCGACGAUCCGUAGCUGGUCUGAGAGGAUGAUCAGCCACAUCGGGACUGAGACACGGCCCGAACUCCUACGGGAGGCAGCAGUGGGGAAUAUUGGACAAUGGGGGCAACCCUGAUCCAGCCAUGCCGCGUGUGUGAAGAAGGCCCUCGGGUUGUAAAGCACUUUCAGCGAGGAAGAACGCCUGUCGGUUAAUACCCGGCAGGAAAGACAUCACUCGCAGAAGAAGCACCGGCUAACUCCGUGCCAGCAGCCGCGGUAAUACGGAGGGUGCAAGCGUUAAUCGGAAUUACUGGGCGUAAAGCGCGCGUAGGUGGCUUGAUAAGCCGGUUGUGAAAGCCCCGGGCUCAACCUGGGAACGGCAUCCGGAACUAUUAGGCUAGAGUGCAGGAGAGGAAGGUAGAAUUCCCGGUGUAGC